GGAAUGAGCCCUUCCCCUUCCUAGGAAAAUGAUGGAGCUGCUAACGCAGAGCUUGCUUGGGAUGUGGGUAUCUCUGUUAAAGGCCUUCUUUUAGAUCAGAUCCCCAAACCAGUGGAUUUGGCACUUCUUGGACAGAAGGAAAAUCUUUCUCCAUUCUGCUUGACUUUGAGCAAGGAACUGAUUUCAGAUCUGCCUCCUUUUGAAAUGUGCCAGCCACAGAACUCCUGAAUACUCUGCAAUGAGCCUUUCAGUCUCUUCUGCAACAAUACCCCACUGUGCAACAGGGACUGGCCUGCAAAAAAGCCUGCUGGAAAACUGCAUCACCAUUGGAGUAAGUGCCAUCAGUCAUGUGAGAUGAUUUCUUCACAUCAGCUUUUUUUUUACCAAAGAGAUUGAUGAAAUCUAUUCUGCAAGUUGGAGGCACAGACUGAGGUCUGCUGGUGCAGAACAGAGGC